rnacentral:rRNA from 1 species
UAACACGUGGAUAAUCUGCCCUUAGGCGGAGGAUAAUCUCGGGAAACUGAGAAUAAUACUCCAUAGGCCUAGGAUGCUGGAAUGCAUCUAGGCUGAAAAUUCCGGUGCCUAAGGAUGAGUCUGCGGACUAUCAGGUUGUAGUCAGGGUAAUGACCUGACUAGCCUACGACGGAUAUGGGUUGUGAGAGCAAUAACCCAGAGAUGAUAUCUGAGACACGAUAUCAGGCCCUACGGGGCGCAGCAGGCGCGAAAACUUCACACUGUGCGAAAGCACGAUGAGGGAAUCCCAAGUGCUUGCACGUAAGUGUAAGCUGUUUUUAUGUUUAAAACGCAUAGAGAGUAAGGGCUGGGUAAGACGGGUGCCAGCCGCCGCGGUAAUACCUGCAGCUCAAGUGGUGGCCGCUAUUAUUGGGCCUAAAACGUCCGUAGCCGGUUUAAUAAAUGCCUGGGUAAAUCGUGUAGCUCAACUAUACGAAUUCCGGGUAGACUGUUAAACUUGGGACCGGGAGAAGUUAGAGGUACUCCUGGGGUAGAGGUGAAAUUCUGUAAUCCUAGGGGGACCACCAGUGGCGAAGGCGUCUGACUAGAACGGGUCUGACGGUGAGGGACGAAGCCCUGGGGCGCAAACCGGAUUAGAUACCCGGGUAGUCCAGGGUGUAAACGCUGCUUGCUUGAUGUUAGUCGGGCUCCGAGCCCGAUUAGUGUCGGAGAGAAGUUGUUAAGCAAGCUGCCUGGGAAGUACGGUCGCAAGGCUGAAACUUAAAGGAAUUGGCGGGGGAGCACAGCAACGGGUGGAGCGUGCGGUU